GAUGAACGCUGGCGGCGUGCCUAAUACAUGCAAGUCGAGCGAACAGACGAGGAGCUUGCUCCUCUGACGUUAUCGGCGGACGGGUGAGUAACACGUGGAUAACCUACCUAUAAGACUGGGAUAACUUCGGGAAACCGGAGCUAAUACCGGAUAAUAUAUUGAACCGCAUGGUUCAAUAGUGAAAGACGGUUUUGCUGUCACUUAUAGAUGGAUCCGCGCCGCAUUAGCUAGUUGGUAAGGUAACGGCUUACCAAGGCAACGAUGCGUAGCCGACCUGAGAGGGUGAUCGGCCACACUGGAACUGAGACACGGUCCCGACUCCUACGGGAGGCAGCAGUAGGGAAUCUUCCGCAAUGGGCGAAAGCCUGACGGAGCACCGCCGCGUGAGUGAUGAAGGUCUUCGGAUCGUAAAACUCUGUUAUUAGGGAAGAACAAAUGUGUAAGUAACUAUGCACGUCUUGACGGUACCUAAUCAGAAAGCCACGGCUAACUACGUG
rnacentral:rRNA from 1 species